rnacentral:rRNA from 1 species
UACGUAGGCAGCAAGCGUUGUUCGGAAUUACUGGGCGUAAAGGGCGCGUAGGCGGCGCGGAUAGUCGGCGGUGAAAGCCCGGAGCUCAACUCCGGGUCGGCCGUCGAUACUUCCGGGCUUGAGCACUGUAGAGGCAGAUGGAAUUCCGGGUGUAGCGGUGGAAUGCGUAGAGAUCCGGAAGAACACCGGUGGCGAAGGCGGUCUGCUGGGCAGUUGCUGACGCUGAUGCGCGACAGCGUGGGGAGCAAACAGG